CAAAAAUACCCAACACCUUCACAAUCCCACUACUAAUUUGUUCCUAUCCUCCACAGUCCCAUUACCCAUCCUCCACAAUCUCAUUCAAUGCAUAUCAAUGGCAACAUUUCUCUCCUCCAUAAGAACCUCCCCUUUCUGUUACCUUACACCUUCCCCUCCCAAGCAAUUCUACUCUUCGAAUUGCCUCUCUAUUCUAGCUUCUCCAACUUCUAUCCCAUCUUCACCGUUUUUGUUCCCGAGAAAAUUGAAAAAUUGGGAGUCAAAAACUCCUCCUCCUUGGCUUUCAAGUAAGCGCGCGCCUUCUUCAACUACCUCCAAGAUAAGCUUGAAGUGUCUGCUACCACCUUUGCCCCCACAUUAAGUUAUUGGGGCAGAUAACGAUGCUGGAGCAAUAACCUCAUAGGAGAAAACAAAGUUCAAUGUUGUGAUUGAGAAGGUGCCGACUAAUUAAUGGAUUAUGAUGUUGAUGGUUUGAAAAACAUGAUGAGGAUAUUGUGAUUUUGAAAUGCUAUUUGUUGCAAUCCCAGUUUCUGGUGUUAAGAAUAUUGGGUUUAUGUAAUGUCUGGUCUACAUGUGGGUUUGGUGGUAGUCUUUGGCGGAGUCCAAAUGGUGGCUAUGAUGUUGAAUAGCUAGAAGGUUUUGCACUCAAGAAAGUCUGGCCAAAUUGCUGCUGAAGUGUUACUGGCAUUGGCACAGCCACAAGAUGAAAGGAAAGUUGCACUUGUUGAGCUUAGUUGCGAGACUCACUUUGAUGCUGGUCUGAAAUUUUUUUGCUGGAAAUUCGUGGCAAGGACGAACUAUUAUCAAAUGGUAUUGAAUGAUAUCGAUCCCUCCCAGGCUUCAUUAUAUUCUUGAUUUGUUUUUGCUGAAAAUUUUUUAUGUCUUUUGUUAAUUGGCUAUAUUAAUUUGUUGUUUUUUUGUCUCUUGUUAAUUGGUUGGAUAGAAAUGAAAGAGAGGAGACAUUAAGAUGGGAAAAGCGAACAAGAAGGAAGAGAGAAAAAUGUGGAGAGAGAGAGAGAGAGAGA
rnacentral:misc_RNA from 1 species